rnacentral:lncRNA from 1 species
CCAUACCUUUUGCUAGUAACCAGCGAACUUUACCGAUCCAUGAUCCUCAUCAGGACCCUCUUAAAAAAAGGAAUUUGAGAUACUAAAACCAUCUAAAGGAACCUAACCAACCAAGGACCAUCCAUACACCAACAAAACAUAGAUUAUUAGAUAAAUGGACUCAUUCUAAAGAGCAAGUCCGAAUAGAUUUAGAAUUUACUGAGGUAUAUCACUACGAGAGCUUGCGUCUAACUAUUCACCACCACUUCCAUGUUCAAUCCUAUCCGAAGCUAAGAGGAGUUAACUUAAGCCUAUGGGCACUACUACUCACAUCUAUCCCGAAGCGCUACUCCGCUUCCAUCACAAUUAUAUAGAACCCCUGAGUAAAAGAAAUGGACAAACCAUCCCUAACAAUUAUAAUUGAAAACCAAACCAAUUCAACUACUAAGCCAUGAAGAUAAUUCAUAAAAACCAUGCCUUACCAAACUUCUCAAGUACCCAACACAACUGUGGGUAUAUCUACCAAUCACAUUAUUCAAGCCUACCGCUUACAUACCUGUGGUGAUCUAUCCAUCAAAAAAUCUAACAUCAUUUAAUAUUUCACAAUGGAUUUUCACCACAUACUUCUUUCCUAACCAUUUAUCUUGACAAUAACCUUACUUCACCUUCAAAACUUAACUCUAUUAGCCACCCUAGGAUCUCCCCCACUAAGGGACUUCUACAUUCCCCUUUACAAAACAUCACCAUUCUUUCUAAGACACUACCAUCCUAAGAUAAGGAGAGAGAUUAAGGAACCGAAGUACAAGAAUUAUCCAUGCCUCCUAAGGUAAGACCCCGGAACAAGACAUGACACAAAACCAUACCACAAAAAAGUCCUUAGAAAUGGACACCGAAAGAAACACAACUACCUAUUCCCCAAAUAAUACAAUGUAGAAUCAAGACUCAUAUCCGGGGAACAUGGCGAAUGCAAAAUGAGAACCUUAAGAAUAAGCACUAUAAGAAUGCAUGCCACACUAGUAGGGUACUCUCUUAACUGAGAUAGAAGAGGAUCACUAGAAUAUGCAACCCAACCUUCUUUUGAAUUCCACCGCUAGAAGAAAAGUUUUAGAUUAACUAUCAACCUUCAUCCCAAUGCUAACCAGAGCCCAACAUAGACAUACAAAAACUAUGAGACCAAAUAGACUCAAAGGCUUCCAAUUAAACCAAAACCAUUCAAGAUCAAAACAUAGCAAUCAAGAACUUUUAAAAAAUCAUUUGAAUCAAACCAAAACCAAUUUAUGUCCCUUUAAUCACUUACGCAAUGAAAAGAUUUAAGAAUUGCCAAACAAUGUGACAAAGUUAUAUUCAAUGGAAAUUUCACAAAUAGUUUGAGGACAUAUAAUUUCCAAGACCAAAACCAAGUAACUGGGAAAACCCAUAGUACCCUAAAAUCAAUUUAGCAUACCCAUGCAUCCCACAAGGUUCAAAAACUUUUAGUAAAGCAUGAAUAAAGCAUUAUAACGCAUGGAAAAUCACUUAAAUGAGUAAUCACGUCCAAGACCUCAAUUAUGCCAAAACCUAAUUUCAAAACCAUGAACUUAAUAAUCAAUUUCAUACAAAAAAUAAGAUACAAGUACAGGGACAAGGAUACAUACAAGCUCUAUGAUCUAACCUCUUGAAUAACUAGAUCUCCAGUCCCUCCAUUCAACCUGAACUAUGAGCCUAUAGGGUACAACUCUCCCACUAGUGUAUUUCCCUAAGUCAUCAAACUCUCCCAACCUACCAAUUUACCUCCACAAUUCCUGCAUUGCUAUUUUCGAGCUUACAUACUUUCUUUCCCAUGAUCAAACAUCUAGAUUCAAGCCUAGGAUCUACCAACCACCAUGUACUACUACCAAAGUACCCCAUAUAAAAUGGAAUAUACACAUAACGUCCUCCCCCACUAGAAGGACACCCUAAAUUUCUUAGCCACCCACCGACAUCCUAUCCAUUUCCAAGAAAAACCAUUCCCCUCAUACAUGCAAGGAGAAAACACUCCACAUGUUAUAUUAAGACCAAUAAAACCUUCAUCUAAGAGAUCUAUUAAUUUCUCCUUAAGAUCUUUUAAACCCACUAAAAUCAUUCUAUAAAGAAAGAAUAGAAAUUUUGAUAAUUAUCCAAAACUAGGUCAAUCCCAAACCAACCUCCCCAUUAGAAAUACACCAUUAGGGUCAUCAGAAGAACCCCAAGAAAUUCAUGCACUAUCAAGACCGAGUGUAAGGAGAGACCUUCCAGUUUAGGAUCUUUAACUCAGACCAACUGAUAAUAGAGACACCCUUUUGGAGACCAAUCUUCGAGCUCUAAGAUAGAACAUAACCUUUUAUUUAUUAGCUAGGGAACAAAAUUAUUAUCUCAUUCCAAAAUUGACCCACCAGAGAGCCUAACAAGUCUGAAAAUCUAAUUAAUAAAAAGCACAUGAGCAACUAAUUCAUCCCCUAAAUGAUAUUGAAAUCCACAACAAACGAGUCAAAAAAAUCCACCAUGACUCAUUUAUUACCAACAGAUGCCACACACACCCAUAGACUCUUUUGGCAAUCAAAAAGUCACCUACUGGGUAAAAAUAGAAGAAGAAAAAAGUCCUAAACAACCUUGAGACCAAGACUAGAAUACACAACCAUAAAUGGGCACAUAAAAGAUAGAGGACACCAAACCAAGUAAACCACGUUGGAGACAAAGUUAGCACCCUGGCAUAAGAGCUAGAAAAGUAGCAACCAAUAUCCUAUUUUCCCAAGCAGCAAUUCUUAUGGGACACUCCCUUUUAACUAGGAAACCAUGACUCCUUACCUUGCUUAUUUCCAACCUCACCUCAUUCCUCCCUGUACUAAUAGGACGGGACUAGCAUGAUAGAGUUGUCACUCUUUGGGUCAAUAAUUUAAUAGAAUAUCGAAGCUAGACCUUGGUAACCUCCCCUUGAUCUAACCGAGAAUGAAUGCCACGUAUCGAGAUAGGGUUAGUGGAGACUGGUGGGACUCCACAGAAAAAACCAGAAGCUGCAACCCUUGACCAGGUUUGUGCCCCAUGAGUUGGACUAGAUUCAUCCAUGUUCUCCUCUAGUAGGAUAGGUAAGUUUCCAAAAAUUGUAGAUCAUUAAGAAAACAUGAUCUGAAAAGUGAACCAAAGAAGAUUCAGAGAAGAGUUCAAGACCUCAAACUCCAUAGCUGGAAAGAAGAAUAACCAAGAAAGUAAAACAUCCUAAAUGCCUUAUAGCUUCCUGAUUACAAGUGUGGUACAGGAUCUACCCAUAAGGAAGACUCUACUUGACACGACUUUACGGACACUGCAUGAAACCAAAACCUAAAGCUCUGAUACCAAUUUAAUAUGACCCAAACCAGGGCCUUAUCGUAAUGGGCAAUCCCAAGUCUAACCAGGACCAGGAAUCUCCCUAGUUACCCAACCACCAAACGCAUACCUUGAGUAAGAUAAAGUCCAAACAUAUAAUAAAAUAGUGUAUCCAACCAUGUAGAGACUCUAGGAUAAGUCUAUAAUUGAGACCGACCAAAAUAUGUCCAACCAUCCAAUAUCUUACCAAACUAAUACGAAAACAGUAAAUAAAUACUAGGGUAAUAAGACAAUGUAAGUAUACAUAUGCAUAACAUAAACAAACCAUACCAUACCAUAACCAAGUCUACAGUUGUCCAUACAAAGCCUCUAGACCAACCAAAGAGUACCUAGUCGGGACAUACCCCCAAUCAAAGCCAAAAACCACAGUCUAUGAAAGAAAAGAAAUAGCCAAGUCUACGGUUGUCCGUACAAAGCCUAUAGAUCAACCAAAGAGUUUCCAGUUUUGGUCCCCCCGGGACCUCUACCUUUCACGGCUUUACUACACAUCCCGCCAUUAUUGCCAAAUUAAAACCAAGUUCCAAAUAAUCAAAACAUUAUUGAUUUAUUAACCAAGGCCAUUGAUAAUGGUAUCGUCAUACCUAUCCUUACUUGCAAGUAUCAUCCAUAGCCAACCAUUUAUAGGUUUAAAGGGACUUUCAAGUGCCCUUCCAUGCACCAUAUUAAACCUCUUAGGGGACUUCCAUGCUCCCCACAAGCAUAACCAAUUAACCUUUAGCAUUUCCAAACUAUUUAAACCAAUUCCAUUAAUGCAUAACUUGAGGGAUCUCUAUGUAUCCCGUAAGGUUUUCAAAAUAGACCAACCAUGACCACCAAAUCCUUUACCUUCUAAACCAUUCCAAGCCAUUUUAAAUCAUGCCAAAUAUUUAAAGAAUUUACAUCAUUUAAACUAUGCAAAACCAUAAAAAACCAUUUAGAGUUCCAUUACCAAACGAAACCAUGCAAAAGUUCCAAUGAAAGUUCAACAAUAGAGUAAGAACAUUCUUUGAGUCAUUUUAUCAAACAUGUUAAGGGCAUACCUUUACAAAGACCAAAACCAAAGCAUAAACUACCAUAACCAAUCAAUAACAACAUAUGCAAACCUUUACCAUAAAUAUGUGAAAACAUAGUUUAAGCCAAUACCAAACCCUAUGCAUUAAAACCCUCAAUAAUAUUUUGAAAUCCACCAUUAAUGGUUCAUGAAUAUACCUUUAUUUGAAAUAACAAUAAGGGAAGGAGUACAUUCCUUAUAUAAAAUGAUUCACAGAAGAAAUCUUGACCUUUGAUCCCUUUGAAGAACACAUGAAGAAACCCUAGCCUCCAAUCUUCAAGAGAGUGUUUGAAAGAGUAUUGGAUGUGUUUUAAUCUAUUAAUAAGAGUUAUUGAAGGCCAUAUAGGGUUAUAAAACAUAAGGACAUAAGGUUUUAGGAGUAGGAAAUGUCCAAAGAACCCCUGACUUUAAAAAAAACAUGCCACGUCCUACGGUACGAGUUGUACUCCAACUCAUACCCAAAACAUUCCAUGAUCUUUCCUGUUGGUUUCUAUAUGACUCACACCCCCUUAAAUAGUACCUAAGGGUAAAAGUGACACCCCCAAUCAUACCCACUUCUCGUAUGUUGGGCAGAUUCCACAAGAUAACUCAUACAUGCACCAUACGACUUGCCAUGCACCACUCAUAUGUUCCUAUAUGACUCUUACCUAGUUGAGUCAUAUCUUUGGCAUUAUCCAACACCAACAUACUACCUAGGGUAUGAUUGAACCCACACAACAGCCCACAAGUCGUACUCAAGGGUACGAAUCAUAACUUUGAGUCUUACAAAGUUAAAAAGAUCUAAAACUUGAGAAAUUUUGCAAUGGUCCAAAUUCUAGGGUGUUUCAGUCUCUCCCACUAGGAUCAUUCAUCCUCCAAUGAAGGGUAAGUGUAAGGAUAAUCGCGAGGUAACACAUUAACACACAUCAAACUUCCCCUCCCCAAUUGAAAUACAGGACAAGAACACAAACCAAGAUGAGAAGAUCAUCACAUACCCCAAGCACGACUUACACCCCAACACCCUCUAACUAAGUUAGGAAACAAAGAUGCAAGAGGAACCAUUCGUCACCUUUAACCAAGUUAGAAAACAAGGAUGUGUUGAAGAACACACAUCUAAUGCAUGAAUUUUCUAGAACAAGAAACAAAUAUGGAUCCUUGGACUCCAUGUCACCUCCGCAUCCCAAAUGACUUUUCGAACUUUUAGCUCCCACCUCCCGCAGAACCUUUACCAAAGCCAUACCUUUAAUUAGUAACCGAAGAACUUUACCAAUACAUGAUCCUCAUUAGGACCCUCUUAAAGAACAAGGAACUUGAGAUACUAAAACCAUCUAAAGGAACCUAACCAACCAAGGACCAUCCAUACACCAACAAAACAUAGAUUAUUAGAUAAAUGGACUCAUUCUAAAGAGCAAGUCCGAAUAGAUUUAGAAUUUACUGAGGUAUAUCACUACGAGAGCUUGCGUCUAACUAUUCACCACCACUUCCAUGUUCAAUCCUAUCCGAAGCUAAGAGGAGUUAACUUAAGCCUAUGGGCACUACUACUCACAUCUAUCCCGAAGCGCUACUCCGCUUCCAUCACAAUUAUAUAGAACCCCUGAGUAAAAGAAAUGGACAAACCAUCCCUAACAAUUAUAAUUGAAAACCAAACCAAUUCAACUACUAAGCCAUGAAGAUAAUUCAUAAAAACCAUGCCUUACCAAACCUCUCAAGUACCCAACACAACUAUGGGUAAAUCUACCAAUCACAACAUUCAAGCCUACCGCAUACAUACCCGUAGUGAUCUAUCCAUCAAAAGAUCUAACAUCGUUUAAUAUUUCACAAUGGAUUUUCACCACAUAUUCCUUUCCUAACCAUUUAUCUUGACAAUAACCUUACCUCACCUUCAAACCUUAACUUUAUUAGCCACCCUAGGAUCUCCCCCACUUAGGGACUUCUACAUUCCCCUUUACAAAACGUCACCAUUCUUUACUCUACCAUCCUAACAUAAGGAGAGUCGUGAAGGAACCAAAGUACAAGAAUUAUGAACAAGCCACGACACCAAAGGCACGAAAUACUUAAUAACAACCACCUAGAUCAUAAUGAAAAACCUUCCUGGCAGAACCAUACCACAAAAAAGAGUCCUUAGAAAUGGACACCGAAAGAAACACAACCACCUAUACCCCAAAUAAUCUAAUUUAGAAUCAAGAAUCAUAUCCGUGGAACAUGGAGAAUGCAAAAUGAGAACCUUAAGAAUAAGCACUAUAAGAAUGCAUGCCACAAUAGUAGGGUACUCUCUUAACCGAGAUAGAAGAGGAUCACUAGAAUAUGCAACCUUACCUUCCUUUGAAUUUCACCGCUAGAAGAAAAGUUUUAGAUUAACUACCAACCUUCAUCCUAAUGCUAACUAGAGCCCAACAUAGACAUGCAAAAACUAUGAGACCAAAUGGACUCAAAGGCUUCCAAUUAAACCAAAACCAUUCAAGAUCAAAACAUAGCAAUCAAUACAUUUUAAAAAAUCUUUUGAAUCUAACCAAAACCAAUUUAUGUCCCUUUAAUCAC